GAGCUUCCUUUUUGUACCUGGACUCCAAAUUCAUGGGGGGCCACGAGAGAUAGCAUUAAUCAUUUUUCUUUUGGCUUUGAAAAAGGAACAAACAGAUAGAAGGCAGAACGACUCUAGUUUUUAGCUUUAGCAUAGUUUAGUUUUUUUCUUUCUAGGUUCCUUUGAUGCACUCCGGGUGUUCGACAAUAUUCCCAACAGGGAAAACACCCUCUACUUCUUGCUUUCUAGUGACAGACGCGAUGCUUUUACAAUCAA
rnacentral:lncRNA from 1 species